UACGUAGGGGGCUAGCGUUGUCCGGAUUUAUUGGGCGUAAAGAGCGUGUAGGCGGCCAGGUAGGUCUGGUGUGAAAACUCGAGGCUUAACCUCGAGAUGUCAUCGGAAACCAUCUGGCUAGAGUCCGGAAGAGGAGAGUGGAAUUCCUGGUGUAGCGGUGAAUGACGCAGAUAUCAGGCGGAACACCGAUGGCGAAGGCAGGUCUCUGGGCCACUACUGACGCUGAGAAGCGAAAGCAUGGGGAGCGAACAGG
rnacentral:rRNA from 1 species